CUUUCUCUCUACUCACAAACCCAACCCAGUCUCUCUCUCUCUCUCUCACUUAUAGAGAGAGAAAGUAAUGGAUUCGGAUCAGGGGAAGCUCUUCAUCGGCGGGAUUUCGUGGGAGACGAAUGAAGAGAAGCUCAAGGACCAUUUCGAGGCCUAUGGUGAGGUUUUGCAGACUGUGGUGAUGAGAGACAAGACCAAUGGAAGGCCUAGGGGUUUUGGGUUUGUUGUUUUUGCAGAUCCUUCGAUCCUCGAUAGGGUUCUUCAGGAUAAACAUCUCAUCGAUGGUAGAACGGUUGAGGCGAAGAGGGCCAUGUCAAGAGAGGAACAGCAGACGGCCCCCAGGGCUGGAAACUCUGGUAAUUCUAGAAACUUUGGAAGUGGUGGAAUAUACAGGACAAAGAAAAUUUUUGUUGGAGGCUUGCCACCUACACUGACUGAGGAAGGAUUUCGUGAGUAUUUUGAAACUUAUGGUGGUGUAACUGAUGUGGUAGUCAUGUAUGAUCAGCAGACUCAACGACCACGUGGAUUUGGAUUUAUUUCCUUUCAUAGUGAGGAUGCCGUUGAUAGGGUUUUGCACAAGACAUUCCAUGAUUUAGGUGGUAAGCAAGUAGAAGUGAAGCGUGCUCUUCCUAAAGAUGCCAACCCUGGUGGUGGUGGCCGUUCCAUGGGUGGUGGUGCUGGCGGUGGAGGUGGAGGUAGUUAUCAAGGUACAUGCAGUUCAGGUUCUUAUGAUGGUCGAAUGGAUUCCAACAGGUACAUGCAGUCUCAGAAUACUGGAGGUGGGUUUCCGUCUUAUGGUUCUUCUGGGUAUAGCGCUUCGGGUUAUGGGUAUGGUCCUGCCAAUAACAGCGUGGGUUAUGGUGGUUAUGGCAGUUAUGGUGGUGCCAAUCCUGGGUAUGGUGGCCCUGCUGGUGCAGCCUAUGGAAACCCAAAUUUACCUAGUGCUGGUUAUGGAAGUGGUCCACCAGGUUCCACACGAAGUUCAUGGGGCUCUCAGGCUCCAUCUGGGUAUGGUGGUGCUGUGGGCUAUGGGAAUGCUGCUCCUUGGGGUACUCCUAAUGCAAGUGGUGGUGGUGGUCCUGGCAGUGGCGGGCCUGUUUCAGCACCCACGGGUCAAUCUCCGGGUGGAGUUUCUGGGUAUGGGAACCAAAAUUAUGGUUAUGGUGGUUAUGGUGGGUAUGGUGGAGUUGAUGGGUCUUAUGCAAAUCAGGCUGCAUAUGGUGCCGUUGGAGGUCGUGCGGGGAGUGUCCCACAUAGCAAGGCUUCUGGUAGUGCUGGUGGGGGAGAGCUACAAGGAACUGGGGGGGGCUACAUGGGAGGCAGCUAUGGUGACGCCAAUGGGAAUUCAGGGUAUGGAAGUCAAGGAUGGAUGUCUGAUCCUACUCAAACUUCUGGAAAUUAUGGGGCUCAGGCAAUUGGACCUCAUGGUGGGCCAGUUGGAUACGGUAGUGGGUAUGGUGGUGCACCGACUCGACAGGCUCAACAGCAGUGAUUUUGAUGACUUCAUUCCAUCCGGGAUUCGGCUUUUUUUGCUCUGAGGACAUGCAGUCGAUGCUUUUUUCCCCCAUGUCAGCUGGAAGGAGGAGGGGUGGCCAUUGUUGGAUGUCAUGCACACAUUGGGACUGGAGGAGAAAUGCUCGAGUUCUGAAGUGGAGUCAAAGUGUCCACUCAGCUGAACAUGAGCUUCAUAGUCGGGGUGUGUUUAACAUGGAAUGGGACUUGGAGUUGACUGGGUUGACCUAACUUUGAGAUUGUUCAUGCGGAAACCAGACCUUGCCGUUGAAGUCAAUUUUCAGGGAUCAUCACAUUUCGAGUUUGGGAUCGCUCAAUCUUCAUUCAGGUUGUGGUGAGCUGAUGAAUUUUUCAAAGCUGAACAAUCUUGUGGCUUCUUGACGUGGUUGGGAAAGACAGACUCUUUGAUAUGGAUCGCUCCAAUAACUCAGAAGCUGGUAAGAAGUUUCAAUUUUCAAGCACCAACAAUGAUUUUCCAACAUUGACGACCUUGCUAGUGGCCAUUUUUUUGCAACAUGGGCUACUGUAUUUUUGUGAAGAAUUCAAAUUAAUACAAUUCUGUUUCAGUCAUUUGUUGUACUAUUUCUUGACAAAUUUCUAUAUAGGUAAACUUCAACUCUAUAUAGUAUAUAGUCUUUUACACUUGUGAAUCACACAUUUUCCUAAAACUUCUUGUUAUGCUAAGGCUUUUAAUCUUGCA